UACGGGGGGGGCAAGCGUUGUUCGGAAUUACUGGGCGUAAAGGGCUCGUAGGCGGCCAACUAAGUCGGACGUGAAAUCCCCAGGCUCAACCUGGGAACUGCGUCUGAUACUGGAUGGCUUGAAUCCGGGAGAGGGAUGCAGAAUUCCAGGUGUAGCGGUGAAAUGCGUAGAUAUCAGGAGGAACACCGAUGGCGAAGGCAGGUCUCUGGGCCACUACUGACGCUGAGAAGCGAAAGCAUGGGGAGCGAACAGG
rnacentral:rRNA from 1 species